rnacentral:tRNA from 1 species
GCGAUUGUAGUCUAACCUGGUUAGGACACGAGAUUGCCAAUCUCGAAAUCCGGGUUCAAAUCCCGGCGAUCGCAC